rnacentral:rRNA from 1 species
CAGUAGCCGCGGUAAAACGAAGGGUGCAAGCGUUACUCGGAAUUACUGGGUGUAAAGCGUGCGUAGGUGGUUGUUUAAGUCUGUUGUGAAAGCCCUGGGCUCAACCUGGGAAUUGCAGUGGAUACUGGGCGACUAGAGUGUGGUAGAGGGUAGUGGAAUUCCCGGUGUAGCAGUGAAAUGCGUAGAGAUCGGGAGGAACAUCCAUGGCGAAGGCAGCUACCUGGACCAACACUGACACUGAGGCACGAAAGCGUGGGGAGCAAACAGGAUUAGAUACCCCUGUAGUCCCUGUCUCUUAUAC